CAGUAGCCGCGGUAAUACGAAGGGGGCUAGCGUUGUUCGGAUUUACUGGGCGUAAAGCGCACGUAGGCGGAUCCUUAAGUCAGAGGUGAAAUCCCAAGGCUCAACCUUGGAACUGCCUUUGAUACUGGGGAUCUCGAGUUCGGGAGAGGUGAGUGGAACUGCGAGUGUAGAGGUGAAAUUCGUAGAUAUUCGCAAGAACACCAGUGGCGAAGGCGGCUCACUGGCCCGAUACUGACGCUGAGGUGCGAAAGCGUGGGGAGCAAACAGGAUUAGAUACCCCCGUAGUCCCUGUCUCUUAUAC
rnacentral:rRNA from 1 species